rnacentral:rRNA from 1 species
UACGUAGGGAGCAAGCGUUGUUCGGAUUUACUGGGCGUAAAGGGCGCGUAGGCGGCAAAUUAAGUCAGCUGUGAAAUCUCCGAGCUUAACUCGGAACUGUCAGCUGAUACUGAUCUGCUAGAGUGCGGAAGGGGCAAUCGGAAUUCUUGGUGUAGCGGUGAAAUGCGUAGAUAUCAAGAGGAAACCCUGAGGUGAAGACGGGUUGCUGGGCCGACACUGGCGCUGAGUGCGCGAAAGCCAGGGGAGCAAACGGG